UCGGCCCCGGCAAGAUGGCGGCCCCCUUGGAGCUCAGCUGCUGGGGAGGUGGCUGGGGGCUCCCUUCGGUGCACAGCGAGUCCCUGGUGGUGCUGGCGUAUGCCAAGUUUUCUGGCGCACCCUUGAAAGUCAAUGUCAUAGAUAACACCUGGAGAGGUCCAAGAGGUGAUGUGCCAAUUUUGAUGACUGAAGACAGCGUUGUCUCUCAGCCUGCAAAAAUACUAAACUUUUUAAGAAAACAGAAAUAUAAUGCUGACUGUGAACUCUCAGCAAAACAAGGGGCAGACACCCUGGCUUAUAUCGCCCUCCUGGAAGAGAAGCUUCUCCCUGCCGUGCUUCACACUUUCUGGGUUGAGAAUGACAAUUAUUUUGCUGUGACAAAGCCAUGGUUUGCCUCCCGUAUCCCUUUCCCUCUGAGUUUAAUCCUGCCUGGAAGGAUGUCUAGAGGCGCACUGAAUAGGAUCCUCUUGACACGGGGAGAGCCGCCCCUCUACCACAUCCAGGAAGUAGAAGCGCAGAUAUACAGAGAUGCCAAGGAGUGCCUCAACCUCCUGUCAAACAGAUUGGGAACAUCUCAGUUCUUCUUUGGUGACAUGCCUUCCACCUUGGACGCCUACGUGUUUGGUUUCCUCGCACCUCUGUAUAAAGUGCGUUUUCCCAAAGUUCACUUACAAGAGCAUCUGAAACAGCUCUCUAAUCUCUGCCGCCUGUGUGACGACAUCCUGGACAUCUACUUCAGACAUGGGCCCGCGGCACUCUCCCCCUGAACAGAAAUCAGCAGCAGAUUGACUUUGGUGAGGUCACCCCCAUGAUUCUACUACUUGAAAAUGAUUGCACCAAACUGGAGAUAGAGUAAGUAGAGGGCUCUUGGCACUUAGGAUGGCGUUCUCUCUGACUGGGGGCCUUGCGCUUAGGGGACCGGGCACUGAGUGUGUAUAUGUAGAGGUGGCUGCAGUGUUUGUCCUUCUGAGAAACAGAAGUUGUGAGAUAGCAGGCUUCAACAGACUGGCUAUUUUUUAUUUUUAUUUUAUUUAUUUUUUACGGAGGAUUCUCUGCUUUACAUAUAGGGAAGUCUAGAAAAUGGGAAGUUAGGGAACUAAGUGGCAUCUGACCUUGAUGCUCUGGGGCAGUGGCUAGCCAGCCUGGCUCCACAGCUCUUCCAUAGUUGCCAAAUUAAAAUGUCUUGGGAUCAAUCCCAGAAAGCUCUGCUUUUAAAAAUUCCUUUCAAUAUCUUGGAUGCCUGGUGAGUAGGUGUUAGGGAAUCGCUACCUUAGCAAGAUGUCUAUAGUGUUACAACCAGUGACCUACGUGUAGUGACUAGGGAGAGGGCACUGUAGUCUGGAGAGCACCGCGCCUUCACUAACCCCUGUAGCUGCCUGCAUGUCAUGUGGCUCGGUGUCUUCCAAGAGCACAGUUCAGUGUUUUCCUUUCUGCUUUCCUAUGGAGCACUGCUGUCCCUCUUAACUUUGCCCUUGAACCCAUAAUAUUUUUCAUUUUCAGUUUUCUUUUGGGGGGAGGGGGAGCAAUUAGGAUUGUGGGUAAACUGAAUUUUUUUUUCCAAUCUUCAACAGCUUGAAAGUCUUUCCAAGUUUGGUUUCUCUCCCUGAUUUCUCUCCUGACUUCUCAGGCAUCUCUCCAGCUGGACAAGAAAUGAUAGAUGCGAACCUGCGGAAACUCACACAACUUGUAAAUAAGGAAUCCAACUUAAUUGAAAAGAUGGAUGACAAUCUCCGCCAGAGCCCUCAGCUUCUU